rnacentral:rRNA from 1 species
UACGUAGGGCGCGAGCGUUGUCCGGAAUUAUUGGGCGUAAAGAGCUCGUAGGCGGCCUGUCGCGUCGGUUGUGAAAGCCCGGGGCUCAACCCCGGGUCUGCAGUCGAUACGGGCAGGCUAGAGUUCGGUAGGGGAGAUCGGAAUUCCUGGUGUAGCGGUGAAAUGCGCAGAUAUCAGGAGGAACACCGGUGGCGAAGGCGGAUCUCUGGGCCGAUACUGACGCUGAGGCACGAAAGCGUGGGGAGCAAACAGG